rnacentral:ribozyme from 1 species
GAUAAUGUUGCAAACAAACAUUUUAUGGGCUAUCUGGUGUCUGCGGUCGUUCAGGGACAAUCAAUUCACCGUCCAGGUCAUGGUAGGGUUCAUAGGGCAGGUCUUCCAACAUACUUUCAUGUGCAUCGUUUUGCUUGCGGUCUUCGUCAUACUCCAUUACGUACCGUUGUACCAAUUCUUCCACGGCGG